rnacentral:siRNA from 1 species
AUAGGAUUCCAUGAAAAAUCCUA